ensembl:lncRNA
GGAAGUGGAACGUUAGCUUGACCACGGAGGGAGGGGCGUAAUGUUUCAAGGAAGAAGGAGAGCAAGCAGAUGAGGAGAAUCCGGUACCCGAAGAGUAUCGGUACUGACAUGAGGAAACAUUGCAGCCAAUUAAGAUGCUAUAUAGAAGUUUUUGAUAACAUGCGGAAAUGUAUCCAAUCUGGCUCACUUGAGAAGACCCCGAUGCUUGGAAAGAUUGAAGGCAAAAGGAGAAGGGGAAAGCAGAGGAUGAUGUGGUUAGAUAGCAUCACUGACUCAAUGGACAUGAAUCAGAGCAAAUUCCGGGGUGAAGGACAGGGAAGCCUGGUGUGCUGCAGUCCAAAGAGUUGGACACGACUUAGCGACUGAACAACGACAAUUAAAAAGACUUCAAAUUGUGUAGUUUUGUGAUUUACAAUGUUGUGUUAAUUUCAGGUUUACAUCACAGUGAUUGAGUUAUACAUAUAUUGAAUCUUUUUCAGGUUCUUUACCCACAUAGGUUAUUACAAAAUACUGAGUAGAGUUUCCUGCGCUAUACAGUAGGUCCUUGUUGGUCUGUUGAUGGACAUUUAGGUUGCUUCCAUGUCUUGGCUAUUGUAAACAGUGCUGCAGUGAACAUUGAGCUGCAUGUAUCUUUUCUUUUUUAAUUAAUUAGAGUAUGGCUGCUUUACAGCGUUGUUAGUUUCUACUGCACAGCAAAGUGAAUCAGCUAUACAUAUAUACAUAUAUCCCCUCUUUUUUGGCUUUCUUUUCCAUUUAGGUCACCCACAGAGCACUGAGUAGAAUUCCCUGAGCUAUACAGUGUUCUCAUUAGUUAUCUAUUUUAUGCACAGUAUCAGUAGUGUAUAUAUGGCAAUCCCAAUCUCCCAAUUCAUCCUACCUCCCAUCCCCCUUGGUGUCCAUACAUUUAUUUUCUACAUCUAUGCCUCUAUUUCUGUUUUGUAAAUAAGAUCAUUUGUAC